GUUUGAGCUGUGGUUUGGAUGCUGUCAGCGAUGCUUGGGCUGUUGCUGGAAGACCAAGUCAUUGAAGCUAUAUUUUACUAAGAAUACCAGAAGAAUAAGUUGGAACAGGAUUAGAACCUGCUGAACAACACAGUUUCUGCCACCCAGCCCCUCUUUUGUGGGUCUCCUCCUUGCAGCAGGUCUCCACAGCUGCCACCAGCACCAGCCCAUGCAGGAAGCCUCCCUGUGACUGGAUCUGCCUUGCCCUCGCUGACCUUGCCCAUCACCCUUCCCCACUCCUGGAAAAUCUUGGAUCUUUUCCUGCUCUGUCUUCAACCAGUGCAUCUCAGGCACAGCUGUCCUGAGGGAGCUGAUCUUGGUUCCACUCCAGUAUGUCCUUCUCCAUGCCAGGCUUUAGGUUGUCCUCCAUGGAGAUGUUUUUGGGAUGUACUAGCACUGCUUAAUGCUCCCUGAAGGCUGCUGGGAGGCUCUGAAUGGUGGGAUACACCUUUAGGGUGUGGCAAAACUUGAAACAUGACUGGGAAUACCAGUGAUGCACAAAUGAUGACGUUUCGGCUGCCAUAUGUCCCACAGAGGGAAUAAUCCUGUUUACACUGCAAGGAGUGGGAGUUCAAUCUGCCUUAAAAUAGCCUCAAUGUAUCUAGGAAAUCCAUAAAAAGGAUACACCAGCAUUUCUUAGGACUUUAUUUUCAGCAGCUCUUGUUAUUUAUUUUGCUGCCAACAUCUGUCAUUUCCUGCACUGUGUAUUUCCCAGCACCCACAGGCUGUGUCUGAACUGAAAGCUGACAGGACCUAACACUAAAUAAUGGAGCGCUGCUUCCUGUUAGCAUCUUGGCCAUCAAAGUGAAACGGGGAAAUGCUUCUGCUCAUAGCUGUUGCAAAAUAUUUGUUUUAGAUUAGCUGCUAUCCCUGCCACGGUCCACGCUGGCAGCUGUGUCCCUCCACCCAACCUGGAAGGCAGCAGGAAGGUCUGCUGGAACUGCAGGGCUCUGGGCUGGGGACAAACAGUUUGAGGAGCUGAGGAAUGAGGGAUGAAGCAGAGCUGAAUUUAGAACCUGAGGUAGGAAAAUACCUGUAUCUUCACGGUGCACUGUGGUUUUAUUUUGGAGGCACAAAACACACCUCGGUGCUGCACGGCUGUUUGCAGAUUGCACCGGCUCAAAGGAGGCUCGUGGAAAGAAAGGCUUUGAUGUCUUCAGUAAACAAAUAGCAGUGUUAAAAGAUCCUCAGUUCUUGUUAGCAUGCUGCAAACAGCUAUGUUUGAAGAAAAAUAAACAUCCCAAGGUUGAUGGAAGGGUAGGGAAGCCAUAAAGUACUGCAGUCAUCUCCUUGGUACGAGGACGGCAGAAAUGAUAAUGAAUCCUUUGUCCUUUU